rnacentral:rRNA from 2 species
UUAAGUUAUUAAGGGCGCACGGUGGAUGCCUUGGCACUAGAAGCCGAUGAAGGACGUUACUAACGACGAUAUGCUUUGGGGAGCUGUAAGUAAGCUUUGAUCCAGAGAUUUCCGAAUGGGGAAACCCAGCAUGAGUUAUGUCAUGUUAUCGAUAUGUGAAUACAUAGCAUAUCAGAAGGCACACCCGGAGAACUGAAACAUCUUAGUACCCGGAGGAAGAGAAAGAAAAUUCGAUUCCCUUAGUAGCGGCGAGCGAAACGGGAAGAGCCCAAACCAACAAGCUUGCUUGUUGGGGUUGUAGGACACUCUAUACGGAGUUACAAAGGACGACAUUAGACGAAUCAUCUGGAAAGAUGAAUCAAAGAAGGUAAUAAUCCUGUAGUCGAAAAUGUUGUCUCUCUUGAGUGGAUCCUGAGUACGACGGAGCACGUGAAAUUCCGUCGGAAUCUGGGAGGACCAUCUCCUAAGGCUAAAUACUCUCUAGUGACCGAUAGUGAACCAGUACCGUGAGGGAAAGGUGAAAAGCACCCCGGAAGGGGAGUGAAAUAGAACCUGAAACCGUGUGCUUACAAGUAGUCAGAGCCCGUUAAUGGGUGAUGGCGUGCCUUUUGUAGAAUGAACCGGCGAGUUACGAUUUGAUGCAAGGUUAAGCAGUAAAUGUGGAGCCGUAGCGAAAGCGAGUCUGAAUAGGGCGUUUAGUAUUUGGUCGUAGACCCGAAACCAGGUGAUCUACCCUUGGUCAGGUUGAAGUUCAGGUAACACUGAAUGGAGGACCGAACCGACUUACGUUGAAAAGUGAGCGGAUGAACUGAGGGUAGCGGAGAAAUUCCAAUCGAACCUGGAGAUAGCUGGUUCUCUCCGAAAUAGCUUUAGGGCUAGCCUCAAGUGAUGAUUAUUGGAGGUAGAGCACUGUUUGGACGAGGGGCCCCUCUCGGGUUACCGAAUUCAGACAAACUCCGAAUGCCAAUUAAUUUAACUUGGGAGUCAGAACAUGGGUGAUAAGGUCCGUGUUCGAAAGGGAAACAGCCCAGACCACCAGCUAAGGUCCCAAAAUAUAUGUUAAGUGGAAAAGGAUGUGGCGUUGCCCAGACAACUAGGAUGUUGGCUUAGAAGCAGCCAUCAUUUAAAGAGUGCGUAAUAGCUCACUAGUCGAGUGACACUGCGCCGAAAAUGUACCGGGGCUAAACAUAUUACCGAAGCUGUGGAUUGUCCUUUGGACAAUGGUAGGAGAGCGUUCUAAGGGCGUUGAAGCAUGAUCGUAAGGACAUGUGGAGCGCUUAGAAGUGAGAAUGCCGGUGUGAGUAGCGAAAGACGGGUGAGAAUCCCGUCCACCGAUUGACUAAGGUUUCCAGAGGAAGGCUCGUCCGCUCUGGGUUAGUCGGGUCCUAAGCUGAGGCCGACAGGCGUAGGCGAUGGAUAACAGGUUGAUAUUCCUGUACCACCUAUAAUCGUUUUAAUCGAUGGGGGGACGCAGUAGGAUAGGCGAAGCGUGCGAUUGGAUUGCACGUCUAAGCAGUAAGGCUGAGUAUUAGGCAAAUCCGGUACUCGUUAAGGCUGAGCUGUGAUGGGGAGAAGACAUUGUGUCUUCGAGUCGUUGAUUUCACACUGCCGAGAAAAGCCUCUAGAUAGAAAAUAGGUGCCCGUACCGCAAACCGACACAGGUAGUCAAGAUGAGAAUUCUAAGGUGAGCGAGCGAACUCUCGUUAAGGAACUCGGCAAAAUGACCCCGUAACUUCGGGAGAAGGGGUGCUCUUUAGGGUUAACGCCCAGAAGAGCCGCAGUGAAUAGGCCCAAGCGACUGUUUAUCAAAAACACAGGUCUCUGCUAAACCGUAAGGUGAUGUAUAGGGGCUGACGCCUGCCCGGUGCUGGAAGGUUAAGAGGAGUGGUUAGCUUCUGCGAAGCUACGAAUCGAAGCCCCAGUAAACGGCGGCCGUAACUAUAACGGUCCUAAGGUAGCGAAAUUCCUUGUCGGGUAAGUUCCGACCCGCACGAAAGGCGUAACGAUUUGGGCACUGUCUCAACGAGAGACUCGGUGAAAUCAUAGUACCUGUGAAGAUGCAGGUUACCCGCGACAGGACGGAAAGACCCCGUGGAGCUUUACUGUAGCCUGAUAUUGAAAUUCGGCACAGCUUGUACAGGAUAGGUAGGAGCCUUUGAAACGUGAGCGCUAGCUUACGUGGAGGCGCUGGUGGGAUACUACCCUAGCUGUGUUGGCUUUCUAACCCGCACCACUUAUCGUGGUGGGAGACAGUGUCAGGCGGGCAGUUUGACUGGGGCGGUCGCCUCCUAAAAGGUAACGGAGGCGCUCAAAGGUUCCCUCAGAAUGGUUGGAAAUCAUUCAUAGAGUGUAAAGGCAUAAGGGAGCUUGACUGCGAGACCUACAAGUCGAGCAGGGUCGAAAGACGGACUUAGUGAUCCGGUGGUUCCGCAUGGAAGGGCCAUCGCUCAACGGAUAAAAGCUACCCCGGGGAUAACAGGCUUAUCUCCCCCAAGAGUUCACAUCGACGGGGAGGUUUGGCACCUCGAUGUCGGC